UUUCUUCUUAAAGGGCCCGAGCUGAAAUGUGACGUUCUAGAGCAGCCCACGUGGCACAGGGCUGACCCCUGCGGUUGUCAGAAGCCCGGAUUCCAAUCUCCACUCUGGCCCUUAUUUGGGUGGCCUCAUUUAUGUAGUGAAGGCCCUCCCAGCCAUCCCGGGACCCCCAGAACUCCAUCCACUGGCAGUCCUUCAAUCAACAAGCAUGAAUUAAGCACUCACUGUGUACCAGGCAGGGUCCGUGCCCUCAAGGACGCACGAUCUAAUGGAAACACUAGAUCCUCUCCCCCACAUCGGCCACAUUCACAGUUACAUUGUAUCCAUGGGGGGGGGGGUGCUCGCGCGCACACACAUUCACACAGGCUUGCAAACAUACUCCAAGUCACUAACAGAGAAAUGCAGAUUAAAUUGAAGCGGGAAAGGGAUACGAAUUUAUAUAGCACCUGCUACGUGACUGCGAGUUCAGUGCGAUCAUUUCCCCACUUUACAGUUGAAAAAACUAAGGCAAACAAAGGUUGAAUGACGUCCAAGGUCACACAGCUCCGAAUGACCUGAGGCUACAUUUCAGCUCAUAUCUUCCUGAGUAUCUAAGAAACCCCUUUGGCCAUGCGUCCAAAAAGCUUCCAAAUUGUGCAAACACUUUGACCAAGCUGGCUGGACCAUCCCCUAAGGAGAUGAAAGACAGAAUACAUGGGGGGCAGCUAGGUGGCACAGUGGAUAAAGCACCAGCCCUGGAUUCAGGAGGAUCUGAGUUCAAAUCCAGCCUCAGACACUUGACACUAGCUGUGUGACCCUGGGCAAGUCACUUAACCCUCAUUGCCCUGCCAAAAAUAAAUAAAUAAAUAAAUAAAAGACAGAGGACAUGGGACUGAGCUGCACAAAGAGGGAGAACAUUAAGGAGACUCGAUGACUCUGCAGCAUCUCAAACCAGAGACCUGGGCUGCUGUCACCAGAGCAUUCACCUACUCACAGUCUGAGGAACAUCCCGAGGAAGGGUCUGCUCUUUUCCCAGCUUCCCCUCCUGAUAGCUGUCUAUCCACAGACAUCAUAUCAUCUGCUUCCUGUAAAAGGCAGUGGCACAGAGCGAGAAGAGAAGAGGGAGCCCAGCAAAGUUCUGGGGGACAUCCACGGUGAGGGCGGGUGACCUGGAUGAAGAUUUAACCAAGAAGCCUGAGAAGGAGCAGUCAGAGAGGGAGGAAGAGAACCAGGAGAGGGUGGGGAGCCCCAAAAGCCUAGAGAGAAGGGGGCUCCCCACAGCAUCUGAGGCCGCAGAGGGGCCUGGACAAUGAGGAUGGAGAAAAGGCCGCUGGACUCCAUAGCCUUGGACUCCAUCUCUUGAUCACUGGUGACUGGGCAGAGAGCAGUUUGGGUGGAAUGAGGAGCUCAAAAGCCUGAUUAUAAAGGGAGAAGAGAGCCCAAGGAGAGAGAGUGGAGGCCCCUCCUGCAGGCCCUUUUCCAGGAGUUUGACCACAAAGAGCAGAGGAGAUAGAAGAUGAUCCUUAGUGGGGAUGGACAUGGCAUGAUGAGGGGGCAGGGGAUCCGAGAGAGGAGGGCAAGGGAGCUCUGAAUUGCUUCACCGAAGGGUCAAGAUGGGGAGAAGAGGAGAGAGGGGCCGGUGCAGGGGGGAUGGCCUGGGAGAAAACAGAGGGGUCAAUCUGAGGAGGAAGAACAGAUAACUCAGCAGAUACUAAAAGAGGGCAGCCUCUUUGCUGUUCUUUCCUGAUCUAAGGCUCUGAAGCAGAGUGGUGAGUACUAGAUGUCCAGAGAUGCUGUUUCCUUUUGAUCAGAGCUGACCGAUGGUGUCCCUUUUUGGAGAAGAUGAUGUCUUCAGUAGUAUGUUACCUCAUUUGAUCCCUCUGGCAGUCAAGUACUGCUAUUAUUCCCUUUUAGUUGAUGAAGAAACUGAGGCAAACAAAAGUUAAGUGACUUUUCCAGGGUCACACAGCUAGUUGGUGCCUGAGGGCAAGAAGGAUGCUCAUUGAUUGACCGGCUUGGUUCUGAGUCUGCCCUAUCUUCCAAGGAAUUUUUCAUGCAUAAUGAAAUGUGAAUCACAGUGCU